rnacentral:rRNA from 1 species
GAUGAACGCUGGCGGCGUGCCUAAUACAUGCAAGUCGAGCGAACGGACGAUAAGCUUGCUUCGCUGAUGUUAGCGGAGGACGGGUGAGUAACACGUGUAUAAUCCACCUAUAAGACUGGUAUAACUUCGGGAAACCGGAGCUAAUACCGGAUGAUAUUUUGAACCGCAUUGUUCAAAAGUGAAAGACGGUCUUUCUGUCACUUAUAGAUGGAUCCGCGCUGCAUUAGCUAGUUGGUCAGGUAACGGCUUACCAAGGCUACGAUGCAUAGCCGACCUGAGGGACUGAUAGGCCACACUAGAACUUAGCCACGCACAAGGCUACUGAGAGAGGGAGCAGUCGGGUAUCUUACGCAAUAGGCGAAAGUCUGACGGAGCAGGGCCGAGUGAGUGAUGAAGGUCCUGCGAUCGUAAAGCUCUGUUACUAGUGAAGAACAUAUGUGUCAGUAAAUGUGCAGAUCUUGACGGUACCUAAUCAGAAAGCAACGGCUAACUACGUG